GGCACUAUAGCCAAGUGGUUACGGCGACAGAUUCGAACAAAGUAGUAUCUGUUCCUCUUUGAGGGCGCAGGUUCAAAUCCUGCUGGUGUCG